CCCCUAGAUGUUCUGGGCCGCACGCGCGCUACACUGAACAGUUCAACAAGUCUUAACCUUGGCCGAUAGGUCUGGGUAAUCUUUGAACGCUGUUCGUGAUUGGGAUAGACCUUUGCAAUUAUGGGUCUUCAACGAGGAAUUCCUAGUAAACGCAAGUCAUCAGCUUGCAUUGAUUACGUCCCUGCCCUUUGUACACACCGCCCGUCGCACCUACCGAUUGAAUGGUCCGGUGAAUUAUUCGGACUGUAACGUGUUCAGUUCCUGGAUGCAGUUAUGGGAAGUUUUGUGAACCUUACCACUUAGAGGAAGGAGAAGUCGUANCA
rnacentral:rRNA from 1 species